CUCAUAUCAAAGGAAUAUCUUGAUGUCAACUUUGUUUAGUUGGAUGGCCAAUGUAACUUUUGAAGUUAAUUUGCUAAAAAAUAUCUCUUGCAUAUAGGCUUAUGAUGUAAUUGUGAUUUAUCAUCUUAUUGAAAUAUAAAUUUAUUCCCAUUUUGUUCUCAUGACAUAGGACAGUUACUUUAUCUGGAGAAUAUGGACCUACAACUUUAUCAUUUUUUAAAAUAUACCCACGUGUGAGUCUUUGUUGAAGAUAAUUUAAGUAGUUAUAUGUGGCCUCAAAUAGUAUGAAUUCUUUCAAUUGCACUUUUAUCAUUCAAUAACAUGGUUUUACGUGUCCUUUAGUUGAUAUGUGUGAAUUUUCACACAUCUUUAUAAGUGAUACAAGAUUACCUUUUUGAAUAUUUCAUGUUCCUUCCGGUUCUUUUUUAUCAUUCUUUGAUAAUUAGCUUACUUUAAUUAACUUGAACUAACAUAUACACGCUUAUAAAUGUUGUUAAAAUCUCUUGGUAAUAUAUUCAGGGUUGAUAUUUUUAUAUUGGCUAUGUCAAUUGUAGCAUGCACUUACUAAUGGUAUGAUCUCUUAUAAGGAUUUGAUAUUUACUAUUAAAAGGCUAAAUUUUAGUGAAAUAUAGGAUUCUGCCUAGUUCCUACCUGACUGGCCAUUUAUAAGAUGGAAAGGCUCUUAUUCCAAUAUUUCCAUUCCCACCAAAAAUCAGGUAAUACUGAUUUCCCCAACAUUGUUAACAUGCUUUCAAAUAAGUUCCAAAAAUCACUGUCUUAUAAGGUGGUUUUAAGAAUAUGCUUGCAUUCCCCAAAGGAAAUUAAAGGUUAAAACAGUAACUCUCAUUAGGAGAUUUUCGCUUUUAUUUGGGUGUCCCGUAUAAUUUGAAGGAGAAUGUAAGAUGAACUCAAGUCACACAGCUUCUUUAUUCCAGAUAACUUUUGUGCUCGUGACCAAACAAAAUACCUAUUUUCGAACACUAAUGAAGAUGGGAGAAAGGAAGAUUAGAUACUAAUUUUACUAUGUAGAGUAAAUUUGAAAAUUAGGGAUAUGAUUCCUUUGUAAGUUUAUAUAUUGUUAUGUACAUUAGUAACUUUUAGUUAUUUUAUUAUUUGUUAUUAGUGAGAAUAUUCAUAUAAUUGAUUAAUCUAUAUUAUUUAUGAGA